rnacentral:tRNA from 1 species
GGGCGGUGGCUCAAUUGGUAGAGUAGCGGUCUCCAAAACCGUUGGUUGCAGGUUCGAGUCCUGCUGCCCG